UAGCCCAGACUCAACCUGAGCCCUGAA
rnacentral:piRNA from 2 species